AGUGAACGCUGGCGGUAGGCCUAACACAUGCAAGUCGAACGGCAGCACAGUAAGAGCUUGCUCUUACGGGUGGCGAGUGGCGGACGGGUGAGGAAUACAGCGGAAUCUACUUUUUCGUGGGGGAUAACGUAGGGAAACUUACGCUAAUGCCGCAUACGACCUACGGGUGAAAGCAGGGGAUCUUCGGACCUUGCGCGAGUGAAUGAGCCGAUGUCGGAUUAGCUAGUUGGCGGGGUAAAGGCCCACCAAGGCGACGAUCCGUAGCUGGUCUGAGAGGAUGAUCAGCCACACUGGAACUGAGACACGGUCCAGACUCCUACGGGAGGCAGCAGUGGGGAAUAUUGGACAAUGGGCGCAAGCCUGAUCCAGCCAUACCGCGUGGGUGAAGAAGGCCUUCGGGUUGUAAAGCCCUUUUGUUGGGAAAGAAAAGCAGCAGGUUAAUACCCCGCUGUUCUGACGGUACCCAAAGAAUAAGCACCGGCUAACUUCGUG
rnacentral:rRNA from 1 species